rnacentral:tRNA from 1 species
AAGGGAGACCUAAUUCCGGUAGGAGACGAAAAAAAAGUAGUCCCAACCAAGAAUCAAUCCCAAAAGGUCGGAACGAGGUAUGAGGCUUUCAAACUAGGCUCUGGGUUCAUAAAAGACCUGAAUCAGGAACAAGGGCUAUUAGCUCAGGUGGUUAGAGCGCACCCCUGAUAAGGGUGAGGUCCCUGGUUCGAGUCCAGGAUGGCCCACCUGCACAGGUGGCAAAAACAAGAGAAGCUCCGAAUCAGCACCUUAUCUUAUAUACAUAUAUAAGAGAGAAUGCUGGCUCUGAGUACAGAGUCCAGAGGAACCUUGAAAACUGCAUAGAGCUAGGUGAAAAAGCCAAAAAAGAAGACCGCAA